rnacentral:lncRNA from 1 species
CUCACCACCACACACGCCCACCAACCACUCACCUCACACACUCCACCUCACACCCUACACCUCACACACUCCACCUCACACACCCCACCCCACGCACCCUAUCCUUCACUUCAUCAGAACAUGUAGCUGUAGUAAGGCUUCUUAAAGUACAUAGUAUUUUGAUAUUACCCACAACACUUGACCCACGACGGACUCUACAUAGUGUAUAACUGUAGUACAUAAGUGAGAGGUCAACAUUAAAUGGUCAGUUUCUGUAGCGUUAGGGAAGGUGUAAAACGUACCAGGGAAGGUGUAAACGUUUCAGGGAAGGUGUAAAACGUAUCAGGGAAGGUGUAAAACGUACCAGGGAAGGUGUAAAACGUAUCAGGGAAGGUGAACGUUUCAGGGAAGGUGUAAAACGUAUCAGGGAUGGUGUAAAACGUACCAGGGAAGGUGUAAACGUUUCAGGGAAGGUGUAAAACGUACCAGGGAAGGUGUAAACGUUUCAGGGAAGGUGUAAAACGUACCAGAGAAGGUGUAAACGUUUCAGGGAAGGUGUAAACGUAGUAAGUAAGGUUGUACACGUUUCAAGGAAGAUCGUAAACGUUUCAGGGAAGAUUGUAAACGUUUCAGGGAAGGUCUAAACGUUUCAGGGAAUAUUGUAAACGUAUCAGGGAAUGUGUAAACAUACUACGUAAGAUUAUAAACGUUUCAGGGAAGAUUAUAAAUGUUUCAGGGAAGGUGUAAACGUUUCAGGGAAGGAGUAAACGUUUCGGGGAAGGUGGGAACUCGUUAAGGAACAAGUACUGAUAGUUGUAAUGUAGGAGAAGUGGACACAAGACUGCGCCAGACGCUCCCUCUUCUACUAAACAUUUAACAUUCAGUUCCUCUUCAGGGUUUUUUUGCCAAGUGUUUUUUGAAGUGUACUUGUGUGUCGUGUUGUAAAUAAUGGCUGACUAUAUCCAUAUGUGCAGGUGUGGCUUACUCUGUAUAUCCAUAUGUGCAGCAGUUGUAGCUUACUAUAUCCAUAUGUGCAGCAGGUGUGGCUCGUUACACUCAUAUGUACAGAAGGUGUGGGUUACUACACUCAUAUGUGCAGCAGGUGUGGCUCGUUACACUCAUAUGUGCAGCAGGUGUGGCUUGUUACACUCAUAUGUGCAGCAGGUGUGGCUCGUUACACUCAUAUGUGCAGCAGGUGUGGCUUACUACACCCAUAUGUGCAGCAGGUGUGGCUCGCUACACUCAUAUGUGCAGCAGAGAGUGUAGCUUACCACACCCACACGUACAGCAGCAGCAGGUGUGGCUGGAACGCCAUAUGUCUGGUCCUCACUGUGUAAAUAACUAAUCCAUGUCAGAGAUAUGUUUUGUAAUAAACGACAAGAAAAUUAAA